GAUGAACGCUGGCGGCGUGCCUAAUACAUGCAAGUCGAGCGAACAGAUAAGGAGCUUGCUCCUUUGAAGUUAGCGGCGGACGGGUGAGUAGCACGUGGGUAACCUACCUAUAAGACUGGGAUAACUUCGGGAAACCGGAGCUAAUACCGGAUAACAUUUAGAACCGCAUGGCUCUAAAGUGAAAGAUGGUUUUGCUAUCACUUAUAGAUGGACCCGCGCCGUAUUAGCUAGUUGGUAAGGUAACGGCUUACCAAGGCGACGAUACGUAGCCGACCUGAGAGGGUGAUCGGCCACACUGGAACUGAGACACGGUCCAGACUCCUACGGGAGGCAGCAGUAGGGAAUCCUCCGCAAUGGGCGAAAGCCUGACGGAGCAACGCCGCGUGAGUGAUGAAGGGUUUCGGCUCGUAAAACUCUGUUAUUAGGGAAGAACAAAUGUGUAAGUAACUGUGCACAUCUUGACGGUACCUAAUCAGAAAGCCACGGCUAACUACGUGCCAGCAGCCGCGGUAAUACGUAGGUGGCAAGCGUUAUCCGGAAUUAUUGGGCGUAAAGCGCGCGUAGGCGGUUUCUUAAGUCUGAUGUGAAAGCCCACGGCUCAACCGUGGAGGGUCAUUGGAAACUGGGAAACUUGAGUGCAGAAGAGGAAAGUGGAAUUCCAUGUGUAGCGGUGAAAUGCGCAGAGAUAUGGAGGAACACCAGUGGCGAAGGCGACUUUCUGGUCUGUAACUGACGCUGAUGUGCGAAAGCGUGGGGAUCAAACAGGAUUAGAUACCCUGGUAGUCCACGCCGUAAACGAUGAGUGCUAAGUGUUAGGGGGUUUCCGCCCCUUAGUGCUGCAGCUAACGCAUUAAGCACUCCGCCUGGGGAGUACGACCGCAAGGUUGAAACUCAAAGGAAUUGACGGGGACCCGCACAAGCGGUGGAGCAUGUGGUUUAAUUCGAAGCAACGCGAAGAACCUUACCAAAUCUUGACAUCCUUUGAAAACUCUAGAGAUAGAGCCUUCCCCUUCGGGGGACAAAGUGACAGGUGGUGCAUGGUUGUCGUCAGCUCGUGUCGUGAGAUGUUGGGUUAAGUCCCGCAACGAGCGCAACCCUUAAGCUUAGUUGCCAUCAUUAAGUUGGGCACUCUAGGUUGACUGCCGGUGACAAACCGGAGGAAGGUGGGGAUGACGUCAAAUCAUCAUGCCCCUUAUGAUUUGGGCUACACACGUGCUACAAUGGACAAUACAAAGGGCAGCUAAACCGCGAGGUCAUGCAAAUCCCAUAAAGUUGUUCUCAGUUCGGAUUGUAGUCUGCAACUCGACUACAUGAAGCUGGAAUCGCUAGUAAUCGUAGAUCAGCAUGCUACGGUGAAUACGUUCCCGGGUCU
rnacentral:rRNA from 1 species